GAGCAAUAUAACCAGUCCUGAAUUUGGGGGAUUAGCAGUCACGAUUCCCCUAAAGUUCCAGGACAAAGGUGAGGCGGUAGGCAGCCCAAGACCCCAAAAAACAUGACCCGGGAGCGGACAGGCCCUGCGAUCUGAUGGAAGCCCAGUUGCCACCAAUCAAGUUACGAUCUACGUAAACGGAUCCCUGUGGAAUUGUGCAGUGCGUGACCCAGCCACAAGAGACUGAAAAGAGCCCCCAGAAUUUGAGGAUUUUUCAACCCAUGAGAAGCAGCAGGAUUUGGGGCAGAACAAAACCUCCGCAUUGCAGAAACCAACAUCAUAGUGUACUUCCAAGGACUCAGGCCAGCCUUUGAACCAAGCAGAGAUAUAAAGUACAACCCCCUUAAUAUUUUGAAAUAAAUACACAAAUAGAGAGAGAGAUGAGAAAAAAAUAAAUAAUAAAGAAAACCCAAAAUCAUUGAAUGUAACUUUUGCUAUUAGACACUUUGUCUGUUUUUGCAUUUGAGGCAGUCUUGUCAACAGGUUCUACUGUGUGUGCUGAUAUUUUGUAUUUAUCAUCUUCCUAGACUUUGGAAAACAUAAAAGGUUUGUCUGGACUGAACUUAGGUGAUUAAAUUCUGUUCUGUUUA